GUUUGGUCCAAGUGCUAAGGUGUUUACAACUAAUUGAUCAUAACCAGUUACAGAUUGCUUUGUUCCUUCUCCACUACCACUGCUUCACUUGACUAGCUUUGA
rnacentral:Y_RNA from 1 species